rnacentral:hammerhead_ribozyme from 1 species
AUCCAACUGACGAGUCCCGAAUAGGACGAAAUGCGCAUUAAACUGGAU